rnacentral:lncRNA from 1 species
GGACUCACCUCCUCACAACCUUCCGACCGUCUUCUUUGAAUCUCAUCAUGAUACAUUGGAUGAAACCGCGUUUGAAAAGCUCUAUAAAGAAAAUAAGGUAACAGGGUCGACACAACCACCAAGAAAGUGGUCAUCCAAUAAAACGGGCUCGGUGCACACGCUUCCACAAACACCCGAUAAGCUGUUGUUGACCAUAGGGGGUUUAUGUACCCAUAUAUCACUAGAAAUACGUACCAAAAGAAGAUACUGCCCCAGAUGAAGAAGUGUUGAAUCCAGGUGAAGUAGUUUAUGGAUAGCGCCAUUUGGCAGUUGACAGCCCACACUACACAAGUGUACAUUAGGACACCGAGGAUUUCGUAAUCGAUGACGUGGCCGUCUUCACGGAAAGCUUGGUGGAUUGUGGAGUUCUUGCAAAUGAAGAAGAUGAUCAUGGAACUUAGAACACCGUUGAACAUCCAUCCGAGGAUUCUUGGCCAGUUGAAGAGGAUGUUUUGCACUCCCUCUUGAUAUAGCAAUGGGUACUGACAAAUUUGAAUUACGGGUCAGAGUCGUGCGGACACAUCUUGAUCAAAAACACCAAGAGCAAUGACAGGAAGUGAGGUGAAGAAAACAUUGUAGAAUGACAUGUACCAAUCGUUGUAAGCGGGUUGGCCAGAGAAAGAAGCAUGGGCUUCAAACCAUAAAAGUGUGAACCCGAAAGCAAUGUUUUUGUAGAAGAAGUAACAUAUCUGGAUUCAAAAAACAAAUAUAUCAUUUAAUUUCUACUUAUGUGACAUACUUGAUGUUUUUAAUAAAGAAAAAG